AUACGUAGGGGGCGAGCGUUGUCCGGAAUGAUUGGGCGUAAAGGGCGCGUAGGCGGCCCGGUAAGUCUGGAGUGAAAGUCCUGUUUUUAAGAUGGGAAUUGCUUUGGAUACUGUCGGGCUUGAGUGCAGGAGAGGUAAGUGGAAUUCCCAGUGUAGCGGUGAAAUGCGUAGAGAUUGGGAGGAACACCAGUGGCGAAGGCGACUUACUGGACUGCAACUGACGCUGAGGCGCGAAAGUGUGGGGAGCAAACAGGAUUAGAUACCCUGGUAGUCCACACUGUAAACGAUGAAUGCUAGGUGUAAGAGGUAUCGACCCCUUUUGUGCCGGAGUCAACACAAUAAGCAUUCCGCCUGGGGAGUACGGCCGCAAGGUUGAAACUCAAAUGAAUUGGCGGGG
rnacentral:rRNA from 1 species